GACGAACGCUGGCGGCGUGCUUAACACAUGCAAGUCGAACGAUGAAGCUAGAGCUUGCUCUGGGUGAAUUAGUGGCGAACGGGUGAGUAACACGUGAGUAACCUGCCCCGAACUCUGGGAUAACUGCUGGAAACGGUAGCUAAUACUGGAUACGACCUACGAAGGCAUCUUCUGUAGGUGGAAAGAAUUUCGGUUCGGGAUGGACUCGCGGCCUAUCAGCUUGUUGGUGAGGUAAUGGCUCACCAAGGCGACGACGGGUAGCCGGCCUGAGAGGUGACCGGCCACACUGGGACUGAGACACGGCCCAGACUCCUACGGGAGGCAGCAGUGGGGAAUAUUGCACAAUGGGCGCAAGCCUGAUGCAGCAACGCCGCGUGAGGGAUGACGGCCUCGGUUGUAACGUACCUUU
rnacentral:rRNA from 1 species